rnacentral:lncRNA from 1 species
ACAAUAUCUUUUAUUUGUGACCGAUCGUCCCUAGAGUAAGUGGCAAAGGGCUUGGUGGUUGAUACUUGAGACCCAAGUUCGAAUCCUAGUUGAUUCACAUUUCCAGCUAAGUUUAUUUCUAAAAUGAAAUAAACAAAGCGGGUAGCAUGCUUACCUUUCUCUCUCAAAAAAAAAAAAAUCUUUUAUUUGUGUAAUAAGGAUGAGGAAUAACCACUACAACAAAAACGGUCUAUAGCGACACUUUUAAAUGUAGGUAUAUGUCAAAAAAGUGCUGCUAGCUAAAAUUACCGACACUUUUAAAAAGUGUUGCUAUAUGUGGGGUCGCUAGGUAUAUAGUGACAGUUAAAGAGUGUCGCUAUAACCUAAAAGAGUGCUGUUAAUUUAUCAACAUUUAUUUAAGCAUUUAGCAACCGCUGAAACUCUAUCUCGUUGGCUGCGGUGGUGGAGGAGGACAACAGUAAAGACUCUUCGUCUAGAAUUUCAGUGGAUUGAGUGAAGAGAGAAGAAAAGAUGGUAAUUGAUUUUUCUUUUUUUUUUCUUUUCUGUUUGUAAUCGGGCCAAAUGGACUGGGUGUGGUGGGUUGAGUAGAGUAAUCUUUUAUUUUUGGUUGGAUUGGGCUUUAUAUUUAGGCAUUAGUAGAUGUGUUUUUAAGUUUUAGUAUAAAUGGGAUACUUACUCAAAAGUGUCCCAAACAUGUGUCCCUAUAACCUAAUUCUGUUGUAGUGAACAUGUAGAGUUAGGAUUAAGUGACACAUUUUUAAAUUGAUAAUUUCUUUUGA